AAGGUUAUUCCCUACUCUGGUUAUUAAACGGCUCUGAACUUGUCAAUCAAGUCAAACACAAGCAGUCAAAAAUGUAUGCUAAUUAUAGUCCAGGCGAAGAAGUUAAAUGUAGGAUGAUGGCCAGGAUGAUGAACUCGAACGAUUCAGGAUUGGAACGAGGAUAUGGAAACGACUACCAGAUCACAAAGCGUACAUACUUCCAACAGCCAGAUUCCUAUACUCACUCAGUGAGCACAGAGAGAACCCCACAUGUGAGAAACAGGAAGUGGAAUGGGGGUUCCAAGACGUUCCAGAAAAGACCAUAUUCUCGGAGGAAUGGUUCCAGGAGUGCUUCAUUAGAAGACACCAUACAAAGAGGAAAAGAAAGGAAUGCAUCUGCUCUGCAUGACACAAGUUGCAGAACUACACAAGGUGACACUUCAACAGCACACAAAAUCCCAAGCUGUUUGUUAAAGAUGAUUGUGAUUGACCUACAACCAUUGUCCAUUGUUGAAGACAAAGGUAUCUGCGCUGUUAUGAGGGCUAUUGAGCCCACACAGGACAUUUCACGAGUGACAUCCAAAGACCUACGCUUACAACUUCUUCAAAUGUAUAAAGAGACUAAAGAGAUGGUGAAAAAAGAGUUGGCUUCAUCAGAUUACAUUUCGUUGACAUCAGAAUUGUGGGUUUCAAGAGCUGAAGUAUCUUUUGUGACGGUGACCUGUCACUAUCUAGGCAAAGACUGGCAUCUGAAGUCCCAUGUGUUAGAAACAGCCAAUUUACCUGAUGAACAUACUCCAAAAAACAUAGUGGACCAGAUGCUGAAGACCGCAAAAGCAUGGGGCAUUAAAGACAAAAUCCAUACCGUUGUCAUGGAAGGAGGAACAACCAUGAAGGACGAAGUCUCAAAAGCUGGAUGGACACACAUCUCUUGUCUUGCUUAUACUUU